GACGAACGCUGGCGGCGUGCUUAACACAUGCAAGUCGAACGGAAAGGCCCUGCUUGCAGGGUACUCGAGUGGCGAACGGGUGAGUAACACGUGGGUGAUCUGCCCUGCACUUCGGGAUAAGCUUGGGAAACUGGGUCUAAUACCGGAUAGGAGCCAUCUUUAGUGUGGUGGUUGGAAAGUUUUUUCGGUGUAGGAUGAGCUCGCGGCCUAUCAGCUUGUUGGUGGGGUAAUGGCCUACCAAGGCGGCGACGGGUAGCCGGCCUGAGAGGGUGUACGGCCACAUUGGGACUGGGAUACGGGCCAGACUCCUACGGGGGGCAGCAGUGGGGAAUAUUGCACAAUGGGCGCAAGCCUGAUGCAGCGACGCCGCGUGGGGGAUGAAGGCCUUCGGGUUGUAAACUCCUUUCGCUAGGGACGAGGCUUUUUUGUGACGGUACCUAGAUAAGAAGCACCGGCUAACUACGUG
rnacentral:rRNA from 1 species